rnacentral:rRNA from 1 species
UACGGAGGAUGCAAGCGCUAUCCGGAAUUAUUGGGCGUAAAGGGUCCGCAGGUGGCAGUGUAAGUCUGCUGUCAAAGAAUGAGGCUUAACCUUAUCAAGGCAGUGGAAACUACACAGCUAGAGUACGGUCGGGGUAGAAGGAAUUCCUGGUGUAGCGGUGAAAUGCGUAGAGAUCAGGAAGAACACCGGUGGCGAAAGCGUUCUGCUAGACCUGUACUGACACUGAGGGACGAAAGCUAGGGGAGCGAAUGGG